GACGAACGCUGGCGGCGUGCUUAACACAUGCCAGUCGAACGAUGAUCUCCCGCUUGCGGGGGUGAUUAGUGGCGAACGGGUGAGUAAUACGUGAGUAACCUGCCCUUGACUCUGGGAUAAGCCUGGGAAACCGGGUCUAAUACUGGAUACUACUUCCUGCCGCAUGGUGGGGGGUGGAAAGGGUUUUACUGGUUUUGGAUGGGCUCACGGCCUAUCAGCUUGUUGGUGGAGUAAUGGCUCACCAAGGCGACGACGGGUAGCCGGCCUGAGAGGGUGACCGGCCACACUGGGACUGAGACACGGCCCAGACUCCUACGGGAGGCAGCAGUGGGGAAGAUUGCACAAUGGGCGGAAGCCUGAUGCAGCGACGCCGCGUGAGGGAUGACGGCCUUCGGGUUGGAAACCUCUUUCAGCAGGGAAGAAGCCACAAGUGACGGUACCUGCAGAAGAAGCGCCGGCUAACUACGUG
rnacentral:rRNA from 1 species